GCACUGUUGACGAGUUCCAAACAGGACGAAACAGCUGUCCAAUGC
rfam:Echinostoma caproni strain Egypt genome assembly, scaffold: ECPE_scaffold0003645